UUGUUUCAGGAGCACAUAUACUGAAAUCAGAAUGAUGCAGAGAUUAAUACCAUGGCCUCUGUGCAAGGAAGGCGCAUAAACUUUGAAGCAGUCUGCAUUUUU
ensembl:snRNA U6 U6 spliceosomal RNA